GACGAACGCUGGCGGCGUGCUUAACACAUGCAAGUCGAACGGAAAGGCCCUGCUUUUGUGGGGUGCUCGAGUGGCGAACGGGUGAGUAACACGUGAGUAACCUGCCCUUGACUUUGGGAUAACUUCAGGAAACUGGGGCUAAUACCGGAUAGGAGCUCCUGCUGCAUGGUGGGGGUUGGAAAGUUUCGGCGGUUGGGGAUGGACUCGCGGCUUAUCAGCUUGUUGGUGGGGUAGUGGCUUACAAAGGCUUUGACGGGUAGCCGGCCUGAGAGGGGGACCGGCCACAUUGGGACUGCGGUACGGCCCAGACGCCUACGGGAGGCAGCAGUGGGAAAUAUUGCGCAAUGGGCGGAAGCCUGAUGCAGCAACGCCGCGUGCGGGAUGACGGCCUUCGGGUUGUAAACCGCUUUCGCCUGUGACGAAGCGUGAGUGACGGUAAUGGGUAAAGAAGCACCGGCUAACUACGUG
rnacentral:rRNA from 1 species